CAUUCACUCAGCACCCCACCCACCUCUUCCACUCGCUCCUACCCUACCCGCGCCGCCGGCGCCUGCCACCCCACCGCCGCCCGCUCGUCGUCCGGUCGCCGCCGCCCGCUCGGCGUCUGCCCGCCGCCUCCCCCGCCUCCCUUCGUCUCCCGGAACCACCUCCGGCGCCCUCUUAUCCCCCGUGGAGACGACGCCCUUGGCCCUGACCGCCGCCUUGGCCUGCACCACCUCCGCCGCCCUUGGCCCUGACCACCGCCGCCGCCUUGGCCUGCAGCUCGAGUUCCACGGCAGAUGACUGACUGGGCUACCUACCACGACUGCAAGCCGAUUGCUUUGUUGGUUUGAAGCGACGACCCUUGCUGGAAGAGUUGGUUCGCGACUGAACUCGCUACUUUGGCAAUCGGCAUGGUCACAUGAGCAAAGCAUGACCAUGGUCCCAAAUCAUUUUGCUCAAGAAUUGGUAUGGAGAUACUGACACGCCGGCAAGAAUGAAUUUGUUUCGAACUCACAAGGCUUGAGCCAGUUCUGACUUCUUGACUUUGGUGAGCCUGAGAAAAAGGAAUAGCUGAAUCUGAUGGAAGUAACAAAAUAGGCAGUCUUACUAGCAGAAGAAGAAAUGUUGUAAACACCUUUCAGUAGUGAGCACAAUUCUGUCAUUUGGAGUACUAUCUUUGUACUGUCACAUUUUGUUGGGGAUUAAAUUCAGUAUAUAUGAUUUUUCUUUAUUCACUUCUGUACUUGAUGCCAGUUGUAUGACAGUCACUGUGGUUAAUAUAAACUUGUGAAACUAUUUUACAGUAGCA